rnacentral:rRNA from 1 species
AUGCAAGUCGAGCGAAGCUUUUCAGUAGUUUACUACAGAAAAUGACUGAGCGGCGAACGGGUGAGUAACGCGUGAGCAAUCUACCUUAGUUACAGGGAUAGCCCGAGGAAACUCGGAUUAAUACCUGAUAUUCUUUAAAUUUCGCAUGAAAUUAAAAGGAAAGGUCAGCCGAACUAAGAUGAGCUCGCGUUCUAUCAGCUAGUUGGUGAGGUAAAAGCUCACCAAGGCAACGACGGAUAGCUGGUCUGAGAGGACGAUCAGCCACACUGGGACUGAGACACGGCCCAGACUCCUACGGGAGGCUGCAGCAGGGAAUAUUGCGCAAUGAGCGAAAGCUUGACGCAGCGACACCGCGUGUGGGAUGACGGAUCUAGGUUUGUAAACCACUUUCAGGAGGGAAGAAAAUGACGGUACCUCCACAAGAAGCCCCGGCCAACUACGUGCCAGCAGCCGCGGUAAUACGUAGGGGGCGAGCGUUGUCCGGAUUUAUUGGGCGUAAAGAGCUCGUAGGCGGUUCAACAAGUCGGUCGUAAAAGUUCAGGGCUCAACCCUGAAAUGUCGAUCGAUACUGUUGUGACUAGGAUACGGUAGAGGUGAGUGGAAUUCCGAGUGUAGCGGUGAAAUGCGUAGAUAUUCGGAGGAACACCAAUUGCGAAGGCAGCUCACUGGGCCGCUAUCGACGCUGAGGAGCGAAAGCUAGGGGAGCAAACAGGAUUAGAUACCCUGGUAGUCCUAGCUGUAAACGAUGGAUACUAGACGUAGGAACUGGAUUGACGGUUUCUGUGUCGUAGCUAACGCGUUAAGUAUCCCGCCUGGGGAGUACGGUCGCAAGACUAAAACUCAAAGGAAUUGACGGGACCCCGCACAAGCGGCGGAGCAUGCGGCUUAAUUCGAUGAUACCCGUAGAACCUUACCUGGACUUGACAUAUAGGGUCAAGCUAUAGAGAUAUAGUGUGCAUUAGCGCCCUAUACAGGUGGUGCAUGGCUGUCGUCAGCUCGUGUC